rnacentral:rRNA from 1 species
UACGAAGGGGGCUAGCGUUGCUCGGAAUCACUGGGCGUAAAGCGCACGUAGGCGGACUCUUAAGUCAGGGGUGAAAUCCUGGAGCUCAACUCCAGAACUGCCUUUGAUACUGGGAGUCUUGAGUUCGGGAGAGGUGAGUGGAACUGCGAGUGUAGAGGUGAAAUUCGUAGAUAUUCGCAAGAACACCAGUGGCGAAGGCGGCUCACUGGCUCGAUACUGACGCUGAGGUGCGAAAGCGUGGGGAGCGAUCCGG